rnacentral:lncRNA from 1 species
CCCUGAAUGCACGAGAAGAGCACUGGUCAUAAUGAUUCCUGUGAGUCUUUCCUUGGCAGUAUUAUGCAUAUUGAAUAUUUGGACAAUAGAAUACGCUGCAGGCUGUGGGGAACAGUAUGAGAAAGAUGGGCGAUGCUGUGACCAGUGUGCCCCAGGUCAAUAUAUGAAGGACUUUUGCAAAGAGAACCAGCAAACAAUCUGUAGUCCCUGUGAAGAGGGCACCUACUCUCAACAAUUUAACCUGUUUGACAGAUGUGAGAAAUGCCGGUCAUGCCAACAUAAAUACAAUGAGAAAUGCACGGCGACCACAAAUACAAAUUGUUCGUGCAACUAUGGUUUCCUGUGCUCCAACAAUGUCUGUUCAGAGUGUGAGGAAAACAAAUGCGUCACAGGGGAAACACUGAAGAGAACAGACUUUGCAGACAGUUCCUUGGAUACCUGGUUGAUAACGUACAGAUAUCAGUGUGAGCCUUCAUGUCGCUGA